UUAUUGGAAAAUCACAGUGGGUUUUUUUUUUUUUCCUCUGAUCCGAAAAACCAGAAACAACAUCUGCUGGAAAGAGGAAUUAUUUAUUACUCUAAUUUCUUGCCAACAUUGAACUCUGAGGAAAUCCACUAAACGGAGAAAGCGAGCCAAUCCAGGAUUACAGUUUAGUAAUCCCCUGAAGAAAAAAUGGGGGAACACUAUGAAGAAAAGAUACAAAGAAGGUGGUUCAUGACACUUGUGAUCUAGCUCUCGAGACCAGCUACUGGGUGAAUGUCGGGACUCUCAAGAACUGAACUGGCCUCUGUGUCAACCAUAUGCUUCUUCUUCCAGAGCUCAGAGGACUGUGUAACCAUCUCUUCGAAUUACAAAAUCAAUCGUGAGUUGGACAUUCGGGGAUGAAAACACCAAAAUGCUGCAGCUGCUUACUAGUUUGGGGAGGAAUGUGCUUCGUGUAUAAUUAAUAGAGGUAAGCCAUUACAGAGAACAAAAAAAUAAAAUUAAAUCA
rnacentral:lncRNA from 1 species